UUCUUGCUGUGACGAAUCAUGGAACAAUUCACAUGUCAGACUUCAGAGAUUUUGUAUUAAAUCUAUGAGAAGGAAAUUUCUUGUUUCCUGAGCAGAAG